AACGAACGCUGGCGGCAGGCCUAACACAUGCAAGUCGAGCGAGCAUUUCGGUGCUAGCGGCGGACGGGUGAGUAACGCGUGGGAACGUGCCCUUUUCUGCGGAAUAGUCCUGGGAAACUGGGGGUAAUACCGCAUAUGCCCUUUUGGGGAAAGAUUUAUCGGAGAAGGAUCGGCCCGCGUUGGAUUAGGUAGUUGGUGGGGUAAUGGCCCACCAAGCCGACGAUCCAUAGCUGGUUUGAGAGGAUGAUCAGCCACACUGGGACUGAGACACGGCCCAGACUCCUACGGGAGGCAGCAGUGGGGAAUCUUAGACAAUGGGGGCAACCCUGAUCUAGCCAUGCCGCGUGAGUGAUGAAGGCCUUAGGGUUGUAAAGCUCUUUCAGCUGGGAAGAUAAUGACGGUACCAGCAGAAGAAGCCCCGGCUAACUCCGUG
rnacentral:rRNA from 1 species